rnacentral:rRNA from 1 species
GUCUACAGCCAUACUAUCCCAGAAGCGCCUGAUCUUGUCUGAUCUUGGAAGCUAAACAGGGUCAGACCUGGUUAGUACUUGGAUGGGAGAUUGCCUGGGAAUACUGGGUGUUGUAAGCU